rnacentral:rRNA from 1 species
UGCAUAUCAAAAAGCGGAGGAAAAGAAACCAACAGGGAUUGCCCUAGUAACGGCGAGUGAAGCGGCAACAGCUCAAAUUUGAAAUCUGGCUCUUUCAGAGUCCGAGUUGUAAUUUGCAGAGGGCGCUUUGGCUUUGGCAGCGGUCCAAGUUCCUUGGAACAGGACGUCACAGAGGGUGAGAAUCCCGUACGUGGUCGCUAGCUAUUGCCGUGUAAAGCCCCUUCGACGAGUCGAGUUGUUUGGGAAUGCAGCUCUAAAUGGGAGGUAAAUUUCUUCUAAAGCUAAAUAUUGGCCAGAGACCGAUAGCGCACAAGUAGAGUGAUCGAAAGAUGAAAAGCACUUUGGAAAGAGAGUCAAACAGCACGUGAAAUUGUUGAAAGGGAAGCGCUUGCAGCCAGACUUGCUUGCAGUUGCUCAUCCGGGCUUUUGCCCGGUGCACUCUUCUGCAGGCAGGCCAGCAUCAGUUUGGGCGGUGGGAUAAAGGUCUCUGUCAUGUACCUCUCUUCGGGGAGGCCUUAUAGGGGAGGCGACAUACCACCAGCCUAGACUGAGGUCCGCGCAUCUGCUAGGAUGCUGGCGUAAUGGCUGUAAGCGGCCCGUCUUGAA